CCGUUUUUCUUUAAUAAUGUGGAUCCCAAGCAUCCUGUUUUCAAAACAUCUGACUGUUUUGCUAUUUACCGGUGACAAAUCUAAAUGCCCUUGGCUGAAGCAGGCAGUCGAGCUGGACACUUGGCAAAAGGGAAAAGCUGACCAAUUAAGGGCCCCUGCAGCCCCCUCCUGAAGAUGCACCUUUCCGACCCAACGGCUUCUCGCACUGUAAGAUCACUCUGCAGAUUGUACAGCUGCCACCAAAACCCAAAAACCACAAACCCCCAAACUAAUUUGUGUCAAUAUUUACUGCUGAUGAGGAAAGCGAGGUGUGAGGCCAUUUUAUGCUUUUCUUUUACAGAUGAAAAUGAUACUGGAAGUUGACCAAAAAGUGCAGACAUUUCAGAAACUGGUUAUGAAAGAACAAAGUUUCAUGAACCUUUUGCUCGACCCAGCUGCAAGCCAUUUGCACACAGAGGGAUCACAACUUUUAAUUGCUACAAUAAGGGAUUUAGUUAGUCUUUCACCUUCACGAGUCCAGAUAUGGCAUUUGGCGAAAAAAAUAAAUAAUCUCAAAAUGAAGGGCAUCAGCGUCCACAUUGGAGGUGCAGCCUUCUUUGCAGGCUAGACCCUUCUCAACUUUCACCCUGGCUUCCCCCAGGACGAACUCAAAAAAACCCGAUAUUCCUUUCUUGAAAGCUCGGUCUGUAAAAAUUUUAUUGCUUCCUUUGCCCCUGCACGUCGUGGUAAUCACUAGAAGAGGAGGAAGCUGAAAUAACACGGGGUUUCUUCGCUCAACUUUUUCCAUAAAAUCAGUUUGUGAUCCCGCAUUUCUGAUUUCAUUAAUUUCCAAUUAGGAAAAUAAACCAAAAACAUCGGGUUCGUGCAGUGUAACUCUGAACUGGGUUUAACCGUGGCAACAGGUCAAAGGCAAGGCUGCAGCGGGCACAGCCCCCAUCCCAACGACCGAGCAAGCUCCGUCUGGGACUGUGUGACCUGCUCCAUCGCACAACGCACGGCUUCAAACACGGCGCGAACGCCUGGGCGCAGACACCGCUCUUGAGAAGCACUUUACUCCUCGCAGAAAAACCUGAAGCUCCCCUUUCGUUCACGGCGCGUUAGAAACUGAAGGUCCCGGGAGGCGGGCGAGCAGCUCCUCUCGGAGCUCAUUCCCUCUGCACGAUCUUUAACUUCGCACCCUCAUCAUGUGCUGGCAAGCGGUGCCGAGCCAGCCCACCACAUUAAAAACGAAAUUAAACGCUUACCGAAAGACAAAACAGCAAUAAAAUAAUGUACCACAA